AUUGAACGCUGGCGGCAGGCUUAACACAUGCAAGUCGAGCGGUAGCACAGGGGAGCUUGCUCCCUGGGUGACGAGCGGCGGACGGGUGAGUAAUGUCUGGGGAAACUGCCGGAUGGAGGGGAAUAACUACUGGAAACGGUAGCUAAUACCGCAUAACGUCGCAAGACCAAAGAGGGGGACCUUCGGGCCUCUUGCCAUCAGAUGUGCCCAGAUGGGAUUAGCUAGUAGGUGGGGUAAUGGCUCACCUAGGCGACGAUCCCUAGCUGGUCUGAGAGGAUGACCAGCCACACUGGAACUGAGACACGGUCCAGACUCCUACGGGAGGCAGCAGUGGGGAAUAUUGCACAAUGGGCGCAAGCCUGAUGCAGCCAUGCCGCGUGUGUGAAGAAGGCCUUCGGGUUGUAAAGCACUUUCAGCGAGGAGGAAGGUGGUGAGCUUAAUACGUUCAUCAAUUGACGUUACUCGCAGAAGAAGCACCGGCUAACUCCGUG
rnacentral:rRNA from 1 species